AAACAUACAAAAUCCCUAGCGUGAAUAAUUUGGCUGUGUGCAUAAACUUGCAUUUGUACGGAUAUGAUCAACAGUCCAAACCCUAAAAUAUACAAACGCACAAACGCCUACACACAAGCACACUUGCGCACACACACACAAUCACACCCCCCCUUCGGCCCCCGUAACCCAGUACGAUUUCCUGCAAAUUCCAAAGUCAGAUCCCGGCUGGAACAUUUCAGCCCGCCUGCCACGUCAGUUUGCCUCCACCAUCCUACCUCUCCCGUUCUUUCUUUCUCUGCCUCUUCGCACAAGGCAACCGACUUAACAUGUACCGAUUCCAUUUUGGUGGCCGGCCACUCCGAGACCAAAGGACCGCAGCUGCAUCUUUAGCAGUAGUUUGUAGCUGUCUUUUUAUGACGCAGAAGAAUGGAUAUGACUGAGGCCUUACGAAGAAGAUCGAGCGGCGAGAUGGCGACCUGCAGCUGCAAUGACCUCAGGGUCCUUCCCCCCAUCAGCCACCAGAGUCCUAACCCCCCCGCCUGCCCAGUGUUCAGACUACCUGUUCAUCAGGCUACAGCUGAACAGUAGUCUGCACAUUGGUUAGGCUGGGCUGGGACACACACGCCUCCAACCACAGAGGAUGAUCGUCACUUGGGGAUAGUUUAUCUUCACAGUGCUUAAUAUGGUAUCUUAAUGUCUAUGCAUCCAUGUGGAGCUGUGUCGUCCUAUUUAGCCAUUUGUCUCACCUCCUCGUCUUUGUACCAGGAAAGGGACUCAGCGGUCAGGAUAAACCAGUACUCCUUGGAGCCUCCUUUCAUGAUGCUGAUGUUGAUGGUUAGCCAGCCUUUCCUGAUAACCUGCACAGCGAGAAGAAGAAAGAGAAGGGUGGUAGGGAGAGUGGGGGCACCAGGAGGAAGGAGGAAAACAGCUUUAUCAAUCAGGUUUAUGCAUUGGUGACAAAAUACAGUGAUGUGACUAACACUAAUAAAAUCUUACCUCCUUACCUGCAAGGUCA